rnacentral:rRNA from 1 species
AUUGAACGCUGGCGGCAGGCCUAACACAUGCAAGUCGAGCGAGCGGCGGACGGGUGAGUAAUGUAUGGGGAACUGCCCGAUGGAGGGGGAUAACUACUGGAAACGGUGGCUAAUACCGCAUACCAUCGGAUGUACCCAUAUGGGAUUAGCUAGUUGGUGGGGUAAAGGCUCACCAAGGCGACGAUCCCUAGCUGGUCUGAGAGGAUGAUCAGCCACACUGGAACGGAGACACGGCCCAGACUCCUACGGGAGGCACCAGUGGGGAAUAUUGCACAAUGGGCGCAAGCCUGAUGCAGCCAUGCCGCGUGUAUGAAGAAGGCCUUAGGGUUGUAAAGUACUUUCAGCGGGGAGGCGUUACCCGCAGAAGAAGCACCGGCUAACUCCGUGCCAGCAGCCGCGGUAAUAC